rnacentral:rRNA from 1 species
UACGGAGGGUGCAAGCGUUAUCCGGAUUCACUGGGUUUAAAGGGUGCGUAGGCGGGCAUGUAAGUCAGUGGUGAAAUCUCAGAGCUUAACUCUGAAACUGCCAUUGAUACUAUGUGUCUUGAAUUUCCUGGAGGUUAGCGGAAUAUGUCAUGUAGCGGUGAAAUGCUUAGAUAUGACAUAGAACACCGAUUGCGAAGGCAGCUGACUACGGGUAGAUUGACGCUGAGGCACGAAGCGUGGGGAUCAAACAGG